UGUAAGCGUAUACCAAAGUUGUUGCAGUUAAAACGCUCGUAGUCGGAAUUUGGCAGUUCCGGAUGUGUGCACGUCGUGUGCGCACUUCGCGGGGAUUGCUUUUGUGGUCUUGCGUAGGAUGAGGCACUUUUAUUAGUGAACGUCCUCACGCAACCACUUUUUACUGUGAGAAAAUCAGAGUGCUCAAAGCAGGCAUUUGCCGUGAAUGUAUUAGCAUGGAAUAAUAGAAUAGGACAUGGUUCUAUUUUGUUGGUUUGUUGGGACUGAGUAAUGAUUAAGAGGGACAGUUGGGGGCAUUUGUAUUUCGGUGCUAGAGGUGAAAUUCUUAGAUUACCGAAAGACAAACUGCUGCGAAAGCGUCUGCCAAGGAUGUUUUCAUUGA
rnacentral:rRNA from 1 species